GGCUGGAUAGCUCAGCCGGCAGAGCAUGAGACUCUAAAUCUGAGGGUCGUGGGUUCAAGCCCCACUUGGGUGA